CAAUAGCAUAUAUUAAAGUUGUUGCAGUUAAAAAGCUCGUAGUUGGAUUUCGGGUGGGACGCAGCGGUCUCGCAUUGCGUUUGUACUGCUGCAGCCCUCCUUCUUGCCGGGGGCGGCCUCUCGGACUUCACUGUCUGGGGGUCAGAAUCGGCGAUGUUACUUUGAGUAAAUUAGAGUGUUCAAAGCAAGCUUACGCUCUGAAUAUAAUAGCAUGGGAUAACACGACAGGACUCUGGCCUAUCGUGUUGGUCUAUAGGACCAGAGUAAUGAUUAAGAGGGACAGUCGGGGGCAUUCGUAUUCCGUUGUCAGAGGUGAAAUUCUUGGAUUUACGGAAGACGAACAUCUGCGAAAGCAUUUGCCAAGGAUGUUUNCAUUGA
rnacentral:rRNA from 1 species